rnacentral:rRNA from 1 species
GCUGAACGCUGGCGGCGUGCCUAAUACAUGCAAGUCGAGCGAACAGAUGAGGAGCUUGCUCCUCUGACGUUAGCGGCGGACGGGUGAGUAACACGUGGAUAACCUACCUAUAAGACUGGGAUAACUUCGGGAAACCGGAGCUAAUACCGGAUAAUAUAUUGAACCGCAUGGUUCAAUAGUGAAAGACGGUUUUGCUGUCACUUAUAGAUGGAUCCGCGCCGCAUUAGCUAGUUGGUAAGGUAACGGCUUACCAAGGCAACGAUGCGUAGCCGACCUGAGAGGGUGAUCGGCCACCCUGGAACUGAGACACGGUCCAGACUCCUACGGGAGGCAGCAGUAGGGAAUCGUCCGCAAUGGGCGAAAGCCUGACGGAGCAACGCCGAGUGAGUGAUGAAGGUCUUCGGAUCGUAAAACUCUGUUAUUAGGGAAGAACAAAUGUGUAAGUAACUAUGCACGUCUUGACGGUACCUAAUCAGAAAGCCACGGCUAACUACGUG